UACGUAGGCAGCGAGCGUUGUUCGGAGUUACUGGGCGUAAAGAGUGCGUAGGCGGCGUUCCAAGUUUGGUGUGAAAUCUCCCGGCUUAACUGGGAGGGUGCGCCGAAAACUGGGAUGCUAGAGUGCGGGAGAGGUAAGCGGAAUUCCUGGUGUAGCGGUGAAAUGCGUAGAUAUCAGGAGGAACACCGGCGGUGUAGACGGCUUACUGGACCGUGACUGACGCUGAGGCACGAAAGCGUGGGUAGCAAACAGG
rnacentral:rRNA from 1 species